CGACUUGGAGGUUGUUCCCUUGAGGAGUGGCUUCCGGAGCUAACGCGUUAAGUCGACCGCCUGGGGAGUACGGCCGCAAGGUUAAAACUCAAAUGAAUUGACGGGGGCCCGCACAAGCGGUGGAGCAUGUGGUUUAAUUCGAUGCAACGCGAAGAACCUUACCUACUCUUGACAUCCAGAGAACUUUCCAGAGAUGGAUUGGUGCCUUCGGGAACUCUGAGACAGGUGCUGCAUGGCUGUCGUCAGCUCGUGUUGUGAAAUGUUGGGUUAAGUCCCGCAACGAGCGCAACCCUUAUCCUUUGUUGCCAGCGAUUCGGUCGGGAACUCAAAGGAGACUGCCGGUGAUAAACCGGAGGAAGGUGGGGAUGACGUCAAGUCAUCAUGGCCCUUACGAGUAGGGCUACACACGUGCUACAAUGGCGCAUACAAAGAGAAGCGACCUCGCGAGAGCAAGCGGACCUCACAAAGUGCGUCGUAGUCCGGAUCGGAGUCUGCAACUCGACUCCGUGAAGUCGGAAUCGCUAGUAAUCGUGGAUCAGAAUGCCACGGUGAAUACGUUCCCGGGCCUUGUACACACCGCCCGUCACACCAUGGGAGUGGGUUGCAAAAGAAGUAGGUAGCUUAACCUUCGGGAGGGCGCUUACCACUUUGUGAUUCAUGACUGGGGUGAAGUCGUAACAAGGUAAC
rnacentral:rRNA from 1 species